UACAGAGGUGGCAAGUGUUGUUCGGAAUUACUGGGCGUAAAGGGCGCGUAGGCGGCUUGGUCAGUCCCGUGUGAAAUCCCUCGGCUCAACUGAGGAACUGCACGGGAAACUGCCUGGCUUGAGUUCGGGAGAGGGAAGCGGAAUUCCGGGUGUAGCGGUGAAAUGCGUAGAUAUCCGGAGGAACACCGGUGGCGAAGGCGGCUUCCUGGACCGACACUGACGCUGAGGCGCGAAAGCUAGGGGAGCAAACGGG
rnacentral:rRNA from 1 species